AUUUUUGUGAACGGGUUAAAUAUGCGGACGGGUUCAAGUUCGUCUGAUGGACUAAGUAGCAGUGGACCUGGACGUUUCUGCUUCGAGUCGGCAACUGGUAUAUCCGAAGCUGAAUGAAGGAAAUUAUCGAGAUUGGCGAGCACAAGUUCUGUUCGCAGUCGAAGCCUAUGGUUUGGAGGGACAUCUCACAGUGAUAACCUGGUAAUUAAGAAGAAAUGACAAGGGUAUUUCAGGAAUAAUAUUGUUCGAUUGAAGGCCAAUGGACGCUUCCGUUUACUCUUUUGGUAAUUCCCUUUUCAAGUCUGAUUAUGAAAUCUCUCUCUUUUAGGAAAACGUUUCAGCCUCACCAUAUAUAAUUGGCAAUUUUAUUUAGAGCAAUGUUAUUGUGUAUACAUAUUUAAAUAUAUAAAAUCAUUUAAUCAUAUAAUUAUAUGAGUAGUCAAUUGAUCCUCAAUAUUGGGUGCACAUAUUUUUAUUGUUAGUCUUUCCUCUGCCAGAUGAGAUUUUCAAGAUUUUUUAUUUAAUUCUUUGUUUUCAUAGCUGAACUCUUUGAAUUUUUCUCUUAAAUUAUACUAUUUUUUUCAUUAUUGUGAAAUUUUAUAUGAAUUUGUCCUCUGGAAAUUGUUCUUUUAAGUUAUUUAACAUGUGAGCUGGUUUUAGUUUUGGUUUUUGGCUUGUAGAUUUUGUUCUUAAAUACCAUUCAUAUUGAAUCUCUUAAUUUACAAAUUGGAAAAAUGAGGUCUCACUGUAACUCCAGGAGGAAACUUGCUGUAAAUUCUCAUUAGUUCUUAUCAUUCGGAGACAAUUUUGAUCUCGAUGAAGAGCUCAACAUGGAAAGAUGCCUGGAUGAUAAUGAAUGUAUGUGGUUGUCUUCCAGUUUUCCUUUACCUUCGAUUUUUUUUGCAGGGCACAGACUCUAUGAAGUGAUGAAUACCUGGUGGUCUGCCGACAACAGACUCUUCACUGGGCUACUUCAUCAGUUCUUACAAUCUCCCCUGUAUACCAUUCUCAGUUAUAACACAACAUGCAAUGGAGCAGGAAAAGUAAUACAAUCAUAAAAGAUAAUGAAAAUAUGUAUUGUAUUGAAUAUUUUCCCAUGAAGUUUACAAAUUAAUUCUCCAAUACAAUGACUAUUUCCAUUUACUGCUACUGCUAAUCAAUUACAAUUCUGGCAACCAUUUAAUCACCAGAAAGUUACACAAAAACUCAGUUGAACCCCCACAGUGCAUGCUCAGCAUCCGAGAAAACCACUCUUUCCCCACUUUUCCUUAGUUGUUUCACCUGCCUCCCUUUCCAGCACCUGCUCUCCUUUUUCAACUCUUUCCACAGCUACUUCUUUCUCCCCUUCCCCUGUUUUGCCACGUUUCAUAUUUUUAGUGGCUGGUUUUGCAUUAGGAUAACAGCCUCCCGAUUUUGCAUUAGAGUAAUAGCCUUCUGAUCCCUUUCUCCAACUGUUACAAUUUUUCCCUCUUAUACCCUCUCUUUUCCUGCAGGAAAUAUAUUUAUGAGUCCUAACAAGAGGAAACUUUCCUGGAAGGCCUGGUUCCAGGGAAUUCUGAAAUAGAUUUAGGAACCGAUCUCAAUUCGACUUCUCAGGUUUCGGAUAAGGAGAAAACCUGCAGCUCCAAUCCUGAAGACAAAUUGUUAAAUUAUCCUGAAGAGACCCUGGAAGAUCUGGAUGACGAUGAACCUCUAUUCUGGCCAUUUAAACUUGAGCGGUGUUGGAAUUCUGAAGAAACCUGGAAAAGCUUCACAAUGUCCCCCCGGAAAGAUAUAAAAAAACUUGGAAAUACUCCUGAAGGGACCUGUAAAAUGCAUUCAAAAGAGAGGUCUAGGAGAAAAGCAAUGAUGAACUCAGGCAGUAGUAAAAAGAAUGUCAGGAAAGUCAACAACAUGCCUUUGAGAUUGCAAAAAUCGAAAAAAAUUCUGCAAAAAUAGUUCCAUUAGAGAUUGCAGAUGAUAUAAGAUCUAAGGAUGGUUAUCUCUUCCAGGAUGUUUUUGCAAUGAAGCAGGAAGUUCCGAUCGAGACUUUUUUAGGCCUUGGCGAAUUUGAUGGACAUGACGGGGUAGAUUCUGAUGUUAAUGUUGAUGUUUUCUUCAUGGAAGAGUCUUCAUGAGAAUCCAGGAACAUUACUGUCUUCUUUUGGUAGUUAAAGGAUUUUACAAGAGGGAUUGAACAAUAGACGCUUUGUUCCAUUAGGUAUCAUCUAUUUCUUUAUCAGAUGGAUGUGUUCAAAUUGCUGAUAUAGCUUGUAUGUAAUGUUUGAUUCAAUUGGAAGAUACUAGAGCUUUCAAAA